UACAGGGGGUGCAAACGUUGCUCGGAAUCAUUGGGCGUAAAGCGCACGUAGGCGGUCUGUUAUGUCGGAUGUGAAAGCCCUUGGCUUAACUGAGGAAGUGCAUCCGAAACUGGCAGGCUAGAGUACUAAAGAGGGUCGCGGAAUUCCCGGUGUAGAGGUGAAAUUCGUAGAUAUCAGGAGGAACACCGGUGGCGAAGGCGGAUCUCUGGGACGUAACUGACGCUGAGACGCGAAAGCGUGGGGAGCAAACAGGG
rnacentral:rRNA from 1 species